UGCUGGAGGUAUCAGAAGUGCGAAUGCUGACAUAAGUAACGAUAAAGCGGGUGAAAAGCCCGCUCGCCGGAAGACCAAGGGUUCCUGUCCAACGUUAAUCGGGGCAGGGUGAGUCGACCCCUAAGGCGAGGCCGAAAGGCGUAGUCGAUGGGAAACGGGUUAAUAUUCCCGUACUUGGUGUUACUGCGAAGGGGGGACGGAGAAGGCUAUGUUGGCCGGGCGACGGUUGUCCCGGUUUAAGCGUGUAGGCUGGUUUUCCAGGCAAAUCCGGAAAAUCAAGGCUGAGGCGUGAUGACGAGGCACUACGGUGCUGAAGCAACAAAUGCCCUGCUUCCAGGAAAAGCCUCUAAGCAUCAGGUAACAUCAAAUCGUACCCCAAACCGACACAGGUGGUCAGGUAGAGAAUACCAAGGCGCUUGAGAGAACUCGGGUGAAGGAACUAGGCAAAAUGGUGCCGUAACUUCGGGAGAAGGCACGCUGACACGUAGGUGAAGUGAUUUACUCAUGGAGCUGAAGUCAGUCGAAGAUACCAGCUGGCUGCAACUGUUUAUUAAAAACACAGCACUGUGCAAACACGAAAGUGGACGUAUACGGUGUGACGCCUGCCCGGUGCCGGAAGGUUAAUUGAUGGGGUCAGCGCAAGCGAAGCUCCUGAUCGAAGCCCCGGUAAACGGCGGCCGUAACUAUAACGGUCCUAAGGUAGCGAAAUUCCUUGUCGGGUAAGUUCCGACCUGCACGAAUGGCGUAAUGAUGGCCAGGCUGUCUCCACCCGAGACUCAGUGAAAUUGAACUCGCUGUGAAGAUGCAGUGUACCCGCGGCAAGACGGAAAGACCCCGUGAACCUUUACUAUAGCUUGACACUGAACAUUGAGCCUUGAUGUGUAGGAUAGGUGGGAGGCUUUGAAGUGUGGACGCCAGUCUGCAUGGAGCCGACCUUGAAAUACCACCCUUUAAUGUUUGAUGUUCUAACGUGGACCCGUGAUCCGGGUUGCGGACAGUGUCUGGUGGGUAGUUUGACUGGGGCGGUCUCCUCCUAAAGAGUAACGGAGGAGCACGAAGGUUGGCUAAUCCUGGUCGGACAUCAGGAGGUUAGUGCAAUGGCAUAAGCCAGCUUGACUGCGAGCGUGACGGCGCGAGCAGGUGCGAAAGCAGGUCAUAGUGAUCCGGUGGUUCUGAAUGGAAGGGCCAUCGCUCAACGGAUAAAAGGUACUCCGGGGAUAACAGGCUGAUACCGCCCAAGAGUUCAUAUCGACGGCGGUGUUUGGCACCUCGAUGUCGGCUCAUCACAUCCUGGGGCUGAAGUAGGUCCCAAGGGUAUGGCUGUUCGCCAUUUAAAGUGGUACGCGAGCUGGGUUUAGAACGUCGUGAGACAGUUCGGUCCCUAUCUGCCGUGGGCGCUGGAGAACUGAGGGGGGCUGCUCCUAGUACGAGAGGACCGGAGUGGACGCAUCACUGGUGUUCGGGUUGUCAUGCCAAUGGCACUGCCCGGUAGCUAAAUGCGGAAGAGAUAAGUGCUGAAAGCAUCUAAGCACGAAACUUGCCCCGAGAUGAGUUCUCCCUGAGACUUAGAGUCUCCUGAAGGAACGUUGAAGACGACGACGUUGAUAGGCCGGGUGUGUAAGCGCAGCGAUGCGUUGAGCUAACCGGUACUAAUGAACCGUGAGGCUUAACCUUACAACGCCGAAG
rnacentral:rRNA from 1 species